UCUCAGCUCAGAAAGAUAUGGCUUUGAGGGUGCUUAACAGCAGCCCUCAGGUACCCACGGAGUGAUUGUCAAGAAGGUAGAGUCACGAUCUUCACUGUGGGAGGUUGAGAGACAAUAUGCAUGAUGUCUACUACCUCGAAUUUGUUGAUUUUUUUUCUGAGGCUGUCAGAAAAAAAUCCUGUCUUUCAUAAAAAAAAAUUCUCAUCACACUUCUUCCAAUAUUUUUACAUUUUGCUGAUGUUUUUGUCAUAGAAAUUUUGAAAUAUUUAGUCAAGGUUUAACUAUCAACAUCCUUUCCAUUUAUAGGAGGGGAAAAAAACUUAUGAACAAGCUACUCUAUACCCUGGUUUUACCUGCUUUGCUGGUGCAGAUCUGAGUCUUGAGCAUUUUUCUUGCCUGUGAUUGCAGCUUUUAAGCUGCUCCCUGACCCUUGAUGUACUCACACCUCAGAGAUGGAAAGGCUCGUGAAAAAAUUCAUGAAAAGAAUAGAAGUCCUGGUUUACGUAAGCUGAAAAAGGUGCACCUCCGCAGAGAACUGCAAGGAAGGCUUAUUUCAUGCUGUGCAGCUAAACUAACAAGGGAAAGUGUUCCUCCUGGUAAUGAGCACAAACACCAACACAUGCUGUGUGACUACUGAAUGACUUGAAAAAUCCUUUUGCUUCAAAUGCAAUGCAGGGCCUUGGCUGAAGUCACUGGGAUGGCACGGAUGUAUGAGUGAAGAGCCUGCACAUGACAUCCCUUGCCCCAUACAUGGCAAAUCUGAAAUAGAAACAUUACCCAUGGCCAGACUCACUACCUUUUUGUCAUGUCAGAAUUCUCUGGCAUACAACUGUAUCUAUUCCUGCUAGAGGAUGAGUUGUUUUCUGCAUUGAAACUUUUUGAUUUCAUAUCAGGUGAGACUAGGAAGGAGUGUGCCUGUGAGCUACUCCGGCCAAAGCUGUUAUGGAGAAAUGGGAAAGCUGCAGGAUCCACAACUUACACAUAGUCUUUGCAACUCUCUUAAUCACUUGGCAUAGCAGUGAGAGAGACCUGUUUCCAUGGUGUGUGAUGUGUAUCUCCAUGAACAGGAAAGAAAGAGAUGAUACUCUUUUCACGGAUCAGUAGGUCAACUUCCUAAUAUGCUAGUUUGGGAUCCCCAAGAGGCACCCAAAUGGAAUUUUUUAUUUCACCUGUGUUUCUUUCAUAGAAAAGGUAUCUUAUACUCUUUACAGACAACAUUAUGUGGUAAUAUUUAGAUUUGUAAGAAGUUAACUUCAACUUUUGAAAGAGCAGAUAGAACAAAGCCAGGAGACAUUGGAAAAUGGUGUUAUUCAGGUGAACAGAGUGCAGCAUUAUGCCAGAAAUGGGGAGGAGUAAGAAAAUAAUUCACAAAUUACAUGAGUCUCCUCUUUGUGUUGAUAGACUGAAUGAAUGGGGGUUGCAUCUCACUUGAUUAACUUAUACUGAUGUGAAUGAAAACCAAGUCUCUAAAUCUACUUUAAACUGUAGUGUUUCUGGCAUGUGUGAAACUGCACAACAUUUUAAUUAAGCUAUCCACAGAAUGUCAAUAAAAAAGUGUCUUUGAACAGGUAAUAGCUAUCCAAAAUAAAAAAAGAACAUUUCUGGGGACACUACAAAGAACAUUAGCACAGAAAGAGAAAAAUUUAAGUCAAUUGUAAGUCUGAACUUUCAGUAGAUAUAAACUGGAAUAUGUCCCUGUGAAUUCUGAAACAGGUGAGUGAGAUUGGCUGGCAUAUUUAGGUUGUUUACAGUGGCUCAUGAUGGUCUAUUAAUAUCAACAGAUGAUGUGACAUUGGCUUCCCUGGGGCCAGGAUUUCAGCUCUGAUAUAUUUGUUGGGAGUUGGAGAACAUAAAUUAGAAAUAAGGCAAGCUAGAAUACAUCUCCAUUUAGAAGGAUAAGUUAUUUUUUAUAUAGAUUUUUCAGUCUGGCAACUACGUACUAUCAAGUCUGAAAUGGGUGUCCCAUAUCAACCUGUACUUUGGGAAGACAUUCUAUGAAAUCCACUGUAUCAGAAGAGGCAAAAAUCAAAAAUUCUCCUGAGGUCUGUAUAGGCGCCUAUUUUUAUUGUGGAAUCUGAGGACUGAUGCUAAUGCAUGUGUGCUGUGGAUUUAUCCAUUCAGUAGUAUAAAAAAACCCCUACACGUUGUGUUUACUAGCAUCUCAUUGGAAAAAUACUGGCUGUUCCUCCCAAGCAGCUAUGUGUCCUCUUUAGGUUUGGGUUCAGUGAGAACAGCAACCAAAUCUGUUACUACACUGUUUCUUUAAUAGAUCUUAAAAUGCUUUAAAAAAAGAGAUUGAUAAUAUUUUUUCAGGUGGGAAAGCUGAGACAGAGUCCAGUGAAAUGAUUUCUAAAUGACAUUCAGAUGGCAAACAAGAGAGCUGGAAAUUUAGGCUUGGUGGUGUACACCAUGGAUCUGACAAUUAUCCCCAGGUAGAAGUUACCUUUCUAUGUUAGAAAGACAAUUAACUGUAUCUUUAAUGUUAGAAAUUAUCUUUCUGACAAAACAUUUGUUUCUGUCAGUUUGGUUUUUGGCUUUGAGGGUUUUGUAUGUUUGGUUUUUUUGGUCAGUGUCUUCUAGUACCUUGUAAAUGUUGACAGAUUCUUAACUUUGCAGGUUCUAUGAGAAUAUGAAUUUCUCUAUUUCUUAUUUUGCAGAGAGCAACAGAUCUUGAAAAGCACCUAGGUGCUUAAUUCCCAGAAAAUUGACUAAAAGAUUUAACUAAGCUUCCACAGUAAGGCUGUGUCUAAGCCAGCCAUUGAAUCUGGCUCUCCCGAGCCCAGUACAGUGCCCUGGGGCCAAACAGAGAUGCAACAUGGUGUGACAUGUUAUAUCUUCACUAUACAACAUUGUGAAAGGGAGGAUCAGAAUAAUUUCUUAGUUCAUGCUUGACUAGAAUUCAUGCAGCUGGCAUUUCUUAUUGGUAAUUCAAAGCAACCUACACUCACAAUUAAAAAGCUUUUUUGUGAAUUGUAAGCAAAGACUUUUCAGCCUGCACUUUGGGGUUCCUUGGUCUGAACUGUCCUUUCUGUCCUUUGAGGCCUUUGUAACUGCAGAGCAUAAGAAUAAUCGAGUAAUUUUGGCCUUUACACAACUUAUAGUAAGGUGUUAUUUAAAGAUUAGUAUAAUAUAAUUGUUUGCUUUUUACUGAAUAAUCAAGUAAACAUCUCUUUCUUAAUCCCUUGAGGCUUCAGAGGUCAGGCUUCUGCUUUUUGGCCUCAGGUUCUAUGGCUAAGAGGACACAAUUCACAUGUAGUCCUUUAAGGAAAAACAGAUUUUCCUGUGGUUCUUUUUGUUUUCUUUUUUUUGUGAGCUUGUUUUUUUUUUUUUCCCCUAAGUCUCAGGGACUGAUUCAUCUCUAUCAUAAUUUUUUACAGUGCUUUCAGUCCAAACCUUUUGCAAAGUUAACCCCUCUUACUUUACUGUGGGAGCUGAAUUGGCUUCAAACUUCAUAAACGAUCUGAAAAUAAAUACAAAAUCUCAUUUUGUUCUUUUAAUGCUUCUGAAGAAUUCCUUAAGUAAGCUUAAGGCAUUACUUUUUUAAACAGGCCUCCUCCACAUAGUGUUUCUGAGGCAGCUCACAGUGUGUUGUACAAUGGUAGCUGUUACCUCAAAUCAAAUGCUGUCUUACAUUUACCACUUGAUAGAGUUUUCCAUAACAAAGACAGCAGACUAAAGCCUGUUACAGUAAGCCAUACUUUAUUUCAAAUCAAAUGCUAAUCCAUCUGAAGACAUAAAUACAGCCACUGAAACCCCAAACUUCAAAUUUCAGUCACUAUUUUUUCACGUAAGGCACACAUUUCAUUUGAAGUGAACUAUCAUGAAACUAUCAUAAUGCAAUUAGCAGCUGUCAUGUGGGAAACCUAUGAGGUCAGACAAACAAGGCAACCAGAUGGUGCUCACAGUUCUGCAUAUUCAAUCAACAUUUUUUCAUACUGUAUCAUAAACUUUCUUCUCUGGUGCAAAGGGCCCCACGACUUAAUCUUGACAAGUUUAUGUGUUAGUUUGCAUUGUCAGGAGCUAAUGUUGUAUCUCAUAUGCACUAUUAUUAAACAAAUUCAAAAUAUGAAAUACCUACUCAAAUAUAAAGUGCAAGAAAUAAAAUCACAAGGUUGGAUUUCUCUCUGGCUAUGUGAAACAAAGGCAAGGAUUGAAUUGUGGGUUUUCACAAUGGAGGGAUUUUACCAGUGAAAUGCCACAAGGAUCUGAGAUGGGAUCUGUAUCAUGCAAUAAUCUUGGUAGCAUAAAUUACAUAAUUUCAGGUAAGGUUACAUAAUUUCUGGAUAACAGCACAUUGCCUAGGGUACAAACAGUUGCAAAACAGUCUCAAAAAGCUCAAUAGAGUGAAUGAGAAAUUUCAGUUUGUCCUGGUUUUGGCUAGGAUAGUUCUGAGUUUUUUUCAGUAGCUUGUGCAGUGCUGUGUUUUGGAUUUAGUAUGAGAAUAAUGUUGAUAGCACACUGAUGUUUUUAGCUGUUGCUGGGUAAUGUUGAUACUAAGUCAAGGACUCCAGUUUCUCAGGCCCUGCCAGCAAGAGGGCUGAAGGGGCACAAGAAAUUGGGAGGGGGCACAGCCAGGACAGCUGACCUGAACUAGCCAAAGGGGUAUUCCAUACCACGGAACAUCAUGCUGAGUAUAUAAACUGAGCGGAGUUGGCCAGGGCCUGCUGACCACUUCUUGGGGACUGUCUGGGCAUCAGUCAGUGGAUGCUGUCAUCUUUCUGGAGAAUCCUGGAAUGACUGAGAUGCCAGGCCAAGAACAGGAGGGAAUACUCUGCCAGCUGCCUCUCUGGCACCUCAAAGGGAUUUUCUGCUUUGAUUGUUGCAGCGUCAGAGAGCAAGAGAGUGUUCUAGCUUGGAAGUUUGGUCUGUACCAUUUCCAUGAGUUCCUGGAUUCUGAAGAAACUGCUGAUCAAUAUGCAAGGCUGAUGGCUGCAGGAGCUGCAGAUGUUGCUUUUGCAUCCUGAAAUUUUUGCUUGGUGGGAAAAGUGAAUACAGUGAACUUGGCAGAACUGAGCUGUUGCUCCAAAGGGCAAGGUCAGCGUUGCAGUCAUGGACCUGUUCUGGAGUAGCUGCUGUAAAAUAUUCAGCAGCUGAGAGACUUGGAUAAUCCACAGGUAAUUUAUCACAAUGGAGUUGUCAACUAAAACCUAGCAUUAUUUUGGCUGUGGAUGAUGCUUAAUGCAUGGAGGAGGAGGGAAAAGGAAGGAGCAUCUGUGAGCAGGCUGCAUACCUCUAAUCUUUCAGUUGUUCCUGGCCCAGCAGUUUAAAAGGUAUAGGGACACUGUGCAAAUAACCCGCCAGCUUUGAGACACAGCAUUUCUGUAUGCAGCUGGAGCAAGAUGCUUUCAAGAAGGCCUUUAGGGACCAAAAGAGGAGUUCAGAGAAGAUAAGGCUAUAGCAAGAAAAUCAGGGUGGCUUAUCCGGUGACUGUCGUAGGUGAGGACAACUGGAACAUAUUCCAUCCUUCACAAGUUUCCUCCAGAGGAUCAUCUUGGAAUUUCUGCUAAAGGAGAGGUAAGAAGGAAAGGAGGGGAAAGAAGGAAAAGAGGGAGUCAAGAACAAGCCGACUCUGUCCAUGGGAGAAGUUUGAGUUCAUCUUUUUUCACCCAAGAAAACUAGUCGAAUUCAUGUGACACACCCUAAAUGCAAUGCUUUGUGCAGCAAGAAUAAAAACAUCCUACAAACUAAGAA